CACCGGAACGAAGAAGCGCAGCCGCGCCGCGCAGACACCACCACCCUACUCCAGCAUCCAGCGUCGACGCCGUCACGCCGCCAGCCCGCCGUCCCUGAGCAAUGGAGUCGAGGAAGCCGCAGCGCUCCGCUCUGGUCGACAGCUAUGUGGUCCCCGGCGACGUCAUCCUGGACCUCGCCGAUAUGACCAACCAGACCAUCAAGCUCGGCGCCGGUCUGCGCCAGGAUUGUGACACUAUCCAGGCAACUAGUGCUGGGAGGCUUCGACUGUCCAAGCCCAACAAGUACUGGGUGGAGAACUCCCAGAAGAGGUAUGUACCUUCUGUAGAAGAUACGGUUCUUGGUGUUGUAGUUGACACCAAACCAGAUAACUUCUUGGUGGACAUAAAGGGGCCUAAUUUGGCCUUUUUACCAGUUCUUUCAUUUGAGGGUGGUACCAGGAGAAACAUACCGAAGUUUGAGAUUGGUACAUUAAUAUAUGCCAGAGUGCUGAAAGCAAAUAGCAUUAUGAAUCCAGAGCUUUCAUGCAUGGAUGCAAGUGGAAAAGCUGCUGAAUUUGGUCAAUUGAAAAGUGGUUAUACGUUUGAAACAUCAACUGGCCUGGCAAGAAUGCUUUUAAGUUCCCCAACAUGUCCACUUCUAGAGGCCCUUGGGAAAAAACUAUCAUUUGAGAUAGCUGUUGGACUGAAUGGUCGAGUAUGGGUGAAUGCUCCUUCGCCAAGUAAUGUCAUUGUUGUAUCAAGCGCAAUUAAAGAAUCAGAAUCUUAUAGUCGCUUACAACAAAAAAGCAUGGUGGAAAAACUCCUGGCUAAACUGUCAUGAUGUUCUCACUGAGCUUUAUGCAUUUGUCAACAGUGCACCUAUAUCAUGCAUCCUUUAAGCUUCAACCACGUAAGGGAGCAGGACACAAUCAGGCACUGUAAAAGGAUUCUGAAUUAUUGUCUGUUAAACGCUGCAGAUGACUCUGCAACCGGAAAGAUGGCUAGUCAUUAUCAUGCACCUUAGCAAGGAAUAGUAGAUGGGAUGGCAUGUAAAAUAGACGCGUUAAAGUGGCUGGUACUUUUUGAUGAUGUAGGGGCUAAGGCAACCAGUUGAUUGGUAAACAUUCUAAAUCAAUCACCUGUGGAUCUUGUACUUGUGGAUAUGUGGUUUAUUAGCUUUGUAAGGUGUUUUAAGGGAUUUGCACAAGGCUGCGUGUGCGGCUCUCCUGAAAGAGGAUUGAUGGGUACUAUACUAUA